rnacentral:rRNA from 1 species
CCUACGGGAGGCAGCAGUGAGGAAUAUUGGUCAAUGGGCGCGAGCCUGAACCAGCCAAGUCGCGUGAGGGAAGACGGUCCUAUGGAUUGUAAACUUCUUUUGUCGGGGAGCAAAAGACGCCACGCGUGGCGUUCCGAGAGUACCCGAAGAAAAAGCAUCGGCUAACUCCGUGCCAGCAGCCGCGGUAAUACGGAGGAUGCGAGCGUUAUCCGGAUUUAUUGGGUUUAAAGGGUGCGCAGGCGGAAGAUCAAGUCAGCGGUAAAAUUGAGGGGCUCAACCUCUUCGAGCAGUUGAAACUGGUGUUCUUGAGUGAGUGAGAGGUAUGCGGAAUGCGUGGUGUAGCGGUGAAAUGCAUAGAUAUCACGAAGAACUCCGAUUGCGAAGGCAGCAUACCGGCGCUCAACUGACGCUGAUGCACGAAAGUGUGGGUAUCGAACAGGAUUAGAUACCCCUGUAGUC